rnacentral:rRNA from 1 species
UACGUAGGGUGCAAGCGUUAUCCGGAAUUAUUGGGCGUAAAGAGCUCGUAGGCGGUUUGUCGCGUCUGCUGUGAAAACCCGAGGCUCAACCUCGGGCCUGCAGUGGGUACGGGCAGACUAGAGUGCGGUAGGGGAGACUGGAAUUCCUGGUGUAGCGGUGAAAUGCGCAGAUAUCAGGAGGAACACCGAUGGCGAAGGCAGGUCUCUGGGCCGAUACUGACGCUGAGGAGCGAAAGCGUGGGGAGCGAACAGG